GCAUCUUAUACCUGGGAGCGUCUUAUACUUGGGGAAAUACGCAAACCCAGGAGACCAACAGCCGCAUGGAAGGAUUUUCUGAGAAUUGGACUGAGCCAGGUGAUAACUCCCAGCCAAGCAAAGUUGUUUGAAUCCACAGAUGUGAAACCCAAGAAUAAGGAGAGCUGCCUCUAUAUUUAUUGAAAAAAAUCUGCAAGACUGGAGUAGAAGUGGGAGUCCAUUUGUUGCCGUAGCCCAGGUAAGGAAUAAUGAAACAAAGUAUUGGCACUAAAAUUUAACAAAUACUUUGCAGAUUGAGUCAAUAGGACUUGCUGAUGAUUGAAUGUAGGGGAGAUGGACUGGUGAAGGAAAGAGGAUCCAAGGGCAGCAGUCGUUUACUUUCACCUCCAUAUCUUCAGCCCCUAGAAUAGGGCCUGGCAUGUAGUAGGUGUGUAAUAACUGUGUUGAGUGAAUGUAUCCAUUCACUGUGCUAAACUCUGUGCCCUGUCACUGUCCCCUUGCUUCAUUCAUACAGGGCCUCCACUAGUCCAUAUAGUACCUUUGUGCAGAUUAGAUAAAAAGUACCUCUUCCUCCAGGGGGACAUGGCCCAUUACCAGGGUACACAGACUGGUAAAUGAACAUGGGCUGUGUUUCAGCCCCCAUUUACCCCCUCAGCUGGCACUCUUGUGCACUGCACAGUCUGUAUAACCACAUACAGCAGCCCCAGUUUAAUAUCCCCGGGAGGUGGUUUUGUGGCAUUGAACCCAGUAUGCAUGGGGAGAAUUUGAGGUCCAGGGGAAGGAAACUGUCUGCUUGGGGUCACUGGAGCUGCUGUUGUGACUGAGAUUCAAACCUUUACCCUCUGAAUCCCUGUGGGCUCUUUAGCCUUGGAGCCACAUUGUCUCUCCCAGAUCACU